rnacentral:rRNA from 1 species
UCGGCGUGGAUUAGGCAUGCAAGUCGAACGAUCCAGCAAUGGAUAGUGGCGAAAGGGUGCGUAACGCGUGAGCAAUCUACCUUCAAAUGGGGAACAACCUUGGGAAACCGAGGCUAAAACCGCAUAAGACCACGGCCUGGCAUCAGGCUGUGAUCAAAAGUAGGGACCGCAAGGCCUGCUGUUUGAAGAUGAGCUCGCGUCCUAUCAGCUAGUUGGCGGGGUAACGGCCCACCAAGGCUUUUGACGGGUAGCUGGUCUGAGAGGAUGGUCAGCCACAUUGGGACUGAGACACUGCCCAGACUCCUACGGGAGGCUGCAGUCGAGGAUCUUUUGCAAUGCCCGAAAGGGUGACAAUGCGACGCCGCGUGUGUGAUGAAGGUCUUCGGAUCGUAAAACACUGUCGGCCGGGAGGAAUCUCUGGAGCCAUAACAUGGCUGCAGGGUGACAGUACCGGCAAAGGAAGCCACGGCUAACUCCGUGCCAGCA